GCUUUAGGAGUGUGUUCACUGGGCAAAGGGAACAAAGAGGCACUUGGCUCACCCUAGAUCAAGAGGAGAGGCUCUCCAGAUUUGCUGACCUAGAAGGAUAAGUCUGAAAGUAGGAGGGUGGGGAGAGCCAGAUGAACAAGGGAGGUGAAAACGUGAUCUAGGGAGGCAUCCGAGUGAGCAAAGGCACGAGUGAGCCUGGUACACUUCUGGGCAGGCAGAAGGAAGGCAGUUAGGCUGUUAGGAAGGCAGUUAGGCUGCAGUGAAUUCUACAAAGAGGCUAUGGGAAAGAAACCUGGAAAGUACCCUUGGCUGUGUACAUUUGAGUAAAGAGAGCACUAUAAAAUCAAAAACCAAUGAAAUGGUUUCCAGAACACAGAACUAUUAAGCUUAAGAAAAGGACAGAAGGAACUGAAGAGAGAGGAACUGUUUUGGAGCAUCACACUUCCACCUCAGAAGAAAUAAGGAAGGAAGGAGGAGGGUGUUCCCACGGCUCUUCAACCAGGCCGGCUCUUCAGCCUACAUCCCCAUCUCAUCAAGUAAAAGGGAUUUUUCAACUGGACCAACCAGAUGGUUUAACAGUGCACUCCCACACCAUUCAACUACGCAAGGGAGAUACACUUAACAUAUGCAGUCGUAUAACACCUACUAACAUUUUCAAACAUUAAACCUUUAAAAAAGAGUUCUAAAGAAAUAGAAGCUUGAAGUAUCAUCUCUCAAGUAUAUAGACACUACUUCAUGGUGUGGUAAUAUAUGCAUAUAGAAGCUAGUAAACACCUCCAGGAGAUGCAAAAGGAAUUAGAACUGCCACAAGGUGCAAGCAAAACCUUGAGGUAAUCAAUCUGCAUCCCAUUUUGGAUGAGAAUAUUUGCAACUUUGAAGGUUAUUUUAAGGACAGCAGCAGAAGAAUUAUGGCAGCUCUUCACGGAAAAAAAAAUGGCAACAAUAAAAUCAGCAACUCCUGCCAAAUAAAUGGGCAUAAAAAAGAAAUCAUAGACUGCUGGCAAUGGUGGGGAAAAAGUUAUAAAAAUUGUCUCUGCACCAUCUUCCUUUUGUCCUCUAAAAUAUUCACAUUAGCAAAAGUAUAUAACAGCUGAUGAAGAAAUACUGAUAAUUUGUCUUUCUUCUUUAAAAUAUGAAGACUUCGAAGUUAUUUAUCCAAACCAACCUGAUCAUUUCUUAAGAGUGAAUAUACCUUGGAAGACGUGUCCUGCCUUUAGUAGCGUCACAAUGGAUUACAUCCUCUAUAAAGCAGUCUGGGGUGAGAAAAUCGAAUUUGGACACCGUUGAGGAGACUAUUGCAGUCAUCCAAGCUCAAGAUGGUGGAGCUUCAUCCUUGAGAAUAACCAAUGGGGAUAGAUUUAAGAGACACUUAGAGUCUGCAGCCAACAGGGCUGAAUGAGCAGAGAGUUAUGAUUCAGAAGAUCAUCUAAAAUUGAACAGCUGCCACUACUGGCAAUAAGUCUACUGCCAUUUGGUAGAUAACCUUCUUAUCACACAGAAAAAUAUCAGUACAGACAAAUAGACCGCAAAGAAAAUGAGACCAUCAGCAAAGAAGAUAAAGAAGUUUGUACAAAGCAACUUUUUAUAAAUGGAUGGCUGUCAGGCAAAAAUAAAUUUCCUGUGGACAAGACCAAGAGCAAGGCAAGAGGAAAAUAAACAUGUUUAAACUAU
ensembl:lncRNA LINC00343 long intergenic non-protein coding RNA 343